UUUAUUCUAGGAUUUAAGUGGCGCUAUUCUUUUAGUGGUAGGCGACGUGCCCGUUGAUAGCGAGGCGCAAUCUUGAGGAUUUGCUGGCUUAGUUGCGUGCGUGUAUUCGUAGGGACGAGUGUGCGUGUGUGUAUGCGAGCGUUUGUACUGUGUGAUUCGAAAAAAAAAGUUUAGAAUUAAAAUGAUGCAAUAGAUAACGCUUUCUUGCUACUAUCGAUACUAAU
rnacentral:lncRNA from 1 species